UAGGGGGCGAGCGUUAUCCGGAAUUACUGGGUGUAAAGGGAGCGUAGACGGCGCGAUAAGCCUGAAGUGGAAGCCCGGGGCCCAACCCCGGAACUGCUUUGGGAACUGUCGGGCUGGAGAGUGGGAGGGGUAAGCGGAAUUCCUGGUGUAGCGGUGAAAUGCGUAGAUAUCAGGAGGAACACCGGUGGCGAAGGCGGCUUACUGGACCACGGCUGACGUUGAGGCUCGAAAGCGUGGGUAGCGAA
rnacentral:rRNA from 1 species